rnacentral:rRNA from 1 species
UACGUAGGGGGCAAGCGUUGUCCGGAUUUACUGGGCGUAAAGAGCGCGUAGGCGGAACGUUAAGCGGGGCCGGAAAGCCCCCGGCUCAACCGGGGAAGGGGCCGCGAACUGGCGUUCUUGAGGGGGAGAGGGGAGAGCGGAAUUCCUGGUGUAGCGGUGAAAUGCGUUGAGAUCCACAGGAACUCCGGUGGCGAAGGCGGCACGCUGGACCCUUUCUGACGCUGAGGCGCGAAAGCCAGGGGAGCGAACGGG